rnacentral:rRNA from 1 species
AUAUUAGUAAGCGGAGGAAAAGAAACUAACAAGGAUUCCCCUAGUAACGGCGAGUGAAGCGGGAAAAGCUCAAGCUUAAAAUCUCUGUGGCAUUCUGCCAUGGCGAAUUGUAGUCUAUUGAAGCAGUUGUCAGCAUCGUCGUCUGGGUUAAGUCCCUUGGAAGAGGGCAGCAUAGAGGGUGAUACUCCCGUCUGUCCCUGGAUGAUGUGUGCGUACGACACGCUUUCUUUGAGUCGAGUUGCUUGGGAUUGCAGCUCAAAGUAGGUGGUAAAUUCCAUCUAAAGCUAAAUAUAAGUGUGAGACCGAUAGCGAACAAGUACCGUGAGG